rnacentral:rRNA from 1 species
UGGGGAAUAUUGCACAAUGGGCGCAAGCCUGAUGCAGCAACGCCGCGUGAGGGACGACGGCCUUCGGGUUGUAAACCUCUUUUAGUAGGGAAGAAGCGAAAGUGACGGUACCUGCAGAAAAAGCACCGGCUAACUACGUGCCAGCAGCCGCGGUAAUACGUAGGGUGCAAGCGUUAUCCGGAAUUAUUGGGCGUAAAGAGCUCGUAGGCGGUUUGUCACGUCUGCUGUGAAAACUGGAGGCUCAACCUCCAGCCUGCAGUGGGUACGGGCAGACUAGAGUGCGGUAGGGGAGAUUGGAAUUCCUGGUGUAGCGGUGGAAUGCGCAGAUAUCAGGAGGAACACCGAUGGCGAAGGCAGAUCUCUGGGCCGUAACUGACGCUGAGGAGCGAAAGCAUGGGGA